GUGACAGAUAAGGUCUGGUGGAUAAAAAUAAAGUGUGGUGACAGAUAUAUAGAGUGUUGUUACAGAUAUAUAAAGUGAGUAGAUAGAUAGAUAUAGAUAUAGUGAGGUGAGUGAUAUAUAAAGUGUGAUCAUGGAUAUGUUAAGUGUGAUCAUGGAUAUGUUAAGUGUAGUGACAGAUAUAUAAAGUAUGGAGACAGAUAUAUGUAGUGUGGUGAUAGAUUUAUAAAGUCAUAAAUAAUGGAGUAAAAUAUAUAUCAAGUGAGGUGAUAGAUAUAUAUGUAGUGAGGUGGUGGAUAUAUAAAGUGUGGUGACAGAGUCUGGUGACAGAUAUAUAAAGUGUGGUGACAGAGUAUAGUGACUGAUAUAUAAAGUGUGGUGACAGAGUCUGAUGACAGAUAUAUAAAGUGUGGUGACAGAUAUAUAAGGUGUGGUGAUUGAUUUAUGAAGUCUGGUGACAGAUAUAUAAAGUGUGGUGAUAUAUAUAUAUAUAUAUAUAAGGUGUGGUGAUGUGUAUAAGGUGUGGUGAUGUAUAUAUAAUGUGUGGUGACAGAUGUUAAAAGCGUGGUGAAAGAUUUAUGAAGUGUGGUGGCAGAUAUAUAAAGUGUGGUGACAUAUAUAUAAAAUAUUGUGACACAUAUAUAAAGUUUGGUGAGAUAUAUAAAGU
rnacentral:lncRNA from 1 species